rnacentral:lncRNA from 1 species
CCCUCUGCCAGCUUCUUUCUCGACGUGCGAUGUCAUCAGAGUGCUUCCUUUUCCGCCCUGUAAUUCGCUCAAAGGAAAAGUGACACUACCUUUCAUCAGUUUGAGAUGGGAAAUUGGAUCAAGGAAAUUCAUACAUAUUUUGUGCUCACUCUUGACAACAGACUUUGUAUUCAUUGAUGUGCUAACUUACAAAGAAGUGCCAAUGGGGGGAGUCUAUAUCAGCUGACCGGAGAAAGGCUAAGCUUACUUUGCCGCGGCACCUUAGCGUCCCUUCCUCUCAUUAGCUCUCUUUUAUAUGCACACGUGCGCGAGCCCUUUCAGAGAAGGAGUGGCUUCAGGCCGGCUUAGACUGCUUGACUGUCUUGCUAACCAUUUCGCCUUGAGGGUUGCAUGCUAGUCUUAGGUUGUAUAAGAGAUGUCGCCUUAAGGCUUCUUUUAAUAA